UGAUCACCUCCAUUGUUGCUUUU
rnacentral:miRNA from 1 species